UGGAAGUAAAAGUCGUAACAAGGUUUCCGUAGGUGAACCUGCGGAAGGAUCAUUACAGAAUGAAAAGUGCUUAACUGCAUUUUUUCUUACACAUGUGUUUUUCUUUUUUUGAAAACUUUGCUUUGGUAGGCCUUCUAUAUGGGGCCUGCCAGAGAUUAAACUCAACCAAAUUUUAUUUAAUGUCAACCGAUUAUUUAAUAGUCAAAACUUUCAACAACGGAUCUCUUGGUUCUCGCAUCGAUGAAGAACGCAGCGAAAUGCGAUAAGUAAUAUGAAUUGCAGAUAUUCGUGAAUCAUCGAAUCUUUGAACGCACAUUGCGCCCUUUGGUAUUCCAAAGGGCAUGCCUGUUUGAGCGUCAUUUCUCCCUCAAACCCUCGGGUUUGGUGUUGAGCGAUACGCUGGGUUUGCUUGAAAGAAAGGCGGAGUAUAAACUAAUGGAUAGGUUUUUUCCACUCAUUGGUACAAACUCCAAAACUUCUUCCAAAUUCGACCUCAAAUCAGGUAGGACUACCCGCUGAACUUAAGCAUAUCAAUAAGCGGAGGAA
rnacentral:misc_RNA from 1 species